rnacentral:misc_RNA from 1 species
GAUGAAGAACGUAGCGAAAUGCGAUAAGUAAUGUGAAUUGCAGAAUUCAGUGAAUCAUCGAAUCUUUGAACGCACAUUGCGCCCCCUGGCAUUCCGGGGGGCAUGCCUGUUCGAGCGUCAUUACAACCCUCAAGCUCUGCUUGGUAUUGGGCUCUGCCGGUCCCGGCAGGCCUUAAAAUCAGUGGCGGUGCCACUCGGCUUCAAGCGUAGUAAUUCUUCUCGCUUCGGAGACCCGGGUGCGUGCUAGCCAGCAACCCCCCACUUUCUCAGGUUGACCUCGGAUCAGGUAGGGAUACCCGCUGAACUUAAGCAUAUCAAUAAGCGGAGGA